rnacentral:misc_RNA from 1 species
GAAAUGCGAUACGUAAUGUGAAUUGCUUUCCGUGAAUCAUCGAAUCUUUGAACGCACAUUGCACUCUAUUCUGUAGAGUAUGCCUGUUUGAGAAUCUAUAGUAUUUCUUUUAGGAAUUUUUUUAAAAUGCCUAAAGAUCUGAGGCCUUCUCUCCUUCAGGAGAGUGCCUUGAAAUAGAUUAUCUGUACCUCGAGAAGAUGUCUGACGUCUCUUAACAACAGAACAGUAUUUGAAUGGUUUUCAACCUCAAUGCCUACUAAGUUGCUAGGGAAAUAGUCGAUCGAGCUAUAGGUCCAUAAACUAUAGUGCUCCUUCCUCUUGAGGAAAGAGCUCUGAACCUUGGUCUCAAAUCAGGUAGGAAGACCCGCUGAACUUAA